rnacentral:lncRNA from 1 species
UGGAGCUCUUAUUAGCUUCAUUAGACCUUUCAGUCAUUGUUGAUGAAAGUGAAGACAUUCCAUGUGACAAUGUUGAUGAGAAGGUGAAAAAAGAAUACAAACGAUGUGAAAGGAAGGCUUUUGGCAUGAUUGCUACAAAUCUUCAUGAUACUAAUUUUUUACAUAUAAUUGCUUACACUGGACUAGUGGAAGCAUGGAAGA